CGGCUCAGUAACACGUGGAUAACCUACCCUCAGAUCUGGGAUAACUCCGGGAAACUGGAGAUAAUACCGGAUAAUCCGUGAACGCUGGAAUGCCUUACGGUUGAAAGCUUUAGCGUCUGAGGAUGGGUCUGCGGCCGAUUAGGUAGUUGCUGGGGUAACGUCCCAACAAGCCGAUAAUCGGUACGGGUUGUGAGAGCAAGAGCCCGGAGAUGGAUUCUGAGACACGAAUCCAGGUCCUACGGGGCGCAGCAGGCGCGAAAACUUUACACUGCGCGAAAGCGCGAUAAGGGGACCUCGAGUGCGUGCGCAAUGCGUACGCUUUUCAGAUGCCUAAAAAGCAUCUGGAAUAAGGGCCGGGCAAGACCGGUGCCAGCCGCCGCGGUAACACCGGCGGCUCAAGUGGUGGCCGCUAUUAUUGGGCUUAAAGGGUCCGUAGCCGGACCAGUUAGUCCCUUGGGAAAUCUUACGGCUUAACCGUAAGGCUGCCAAUGGAUACUGCUGGUCUUGGGACCGGGAGAGGCAAGAGGUACCUCAGGGGUAGGAGUGAAAUCCUGUAAUCCUUGAGGGACCGCCAGUGGCGAAGGCGUCUUGCUAGAACGGGUCCGACGGUGAGGGACGAAAGCUAGGGGCACGAACCGGAUUAGAUACCCGGGUAGUCCUAGCCGUAAACGAUGCGAGCUAGGUGUCACGUGGAUUG
rnacentral:rRNA from 1 species